UCAUUAUGCCUGGAAAGGUUUAUGGUCCAAAUGAUUCGUCGCCGUAGGAUGGGACUGCGGCCUAUCAGCUUGUUGGUGAGGUAAUGGCCCACCAAGGCUAUUACAGGUACGGGCUCUGAGAGGAGAAGCCCGGAGAUGGGUACUGAGACACGGACCCAGGCCCUAUGGGGCGCAGCAGGCGGGAAACCUUUGCAAUGUGCGCAAGCACGACAAGGUUAAUCCGAGUGUUUCCUGCUAAAGGAAUCUUUUGUUAGUUGUAAAACCACUAAUGAAUAAGGGGUGGGCAAGUUCUGGUGUCAGCCGCCGCGGUAAAACCAGCACCUCAAGUGGUCAGGAUGAUUAUUGGGCCUAAAGCAUCCGUAGCCUGUUCUGUAAGUUUUCGGUUAAAUCCAUUAGCUCAACUAAUGGGCUGCCGAAAAUACUGCAGAACUAGGGAGUGGGAGAGGUAGACGGUACUCGGUAGGAAGGGGUAAAAUCCUUUGAUCUAUUGAUGACCACCUGUGGCGAAGGCGGUCUACCAGAACACGUUCGACGGUGAGGGAUGAAAGCUGGGGGAGCAAACCGGAUUAGAUACCCGGGUAGUCCCAGCUGUAAACGAUGCAGACUCGGUGAUGCCCUGG
rnacentral:rRNA from 1 species